CUCACUCGUUUUACAGCCAAUUUCGACAGGGCUGCUUCGUAUAUUGAAUAGCAAGAGAAACCCUUUGAGACGACGGCGGUCGUUUUUCCUAGUCAAACGAAAGCAUUCUUCGACCUCGACAAUAUAAUAUAAUAUCGUAUUGUUUGUCUUUUGUGUAACGUUUUCGGAUCGAAGACAAAAUGUAAAUACUCCGAACAGGGUAAACAUAAUCGCGAGAGCACUGCGUAUAAUAGUCGUUCGCUCUCGGCGGUAUGUCAUAUUAUAAUGAUCUUACGUCGUAUAUUGUGCAUUGAGCACACACCGAUUUUUUUUUUAAACUAUAAAACAAUAUAAUAUAUUAGGUACACGCGUGUGUGACUGUGCACUUUUUAAUACUUUUAUAUGGUUAAAUAUAAUAUUUUUAGUAAGACCGUACGGCAGCCCGGAAAACCGUCGAACUCGCUCGAAAUGUGUACGGAUUGAUGAAAAAUAAUAUCGCGUCUUAGCAAUCCGAAGUUUUUACAUGACUACGACGACGACGUAGAAAUGCAAAUGCACAUGACGCAAGUUUAUCUUUAUGUGGACACUAAAUUGGCGUGUAUGUUAACUUGCAAAUCAUACCAUAAGACAGAUGCCAGUUACCUGAAGUAUUUACAAUAUUAGCAGUUUAAAUUUCAGUUUACCGCUAAGAUAUAGUUACCAGGGAGCACGGUUGCUGUGAGAAAAUCAUCGCGUUCAGCUAAACAGUGCGGGCCGGAAUUGUUGGCGUCGCGUAAAAGGAGGGUAGAUAGCCGAGAAUCUACCGAUCCAAUUUCACUUGUACAGAAAAUCAGGAGCCAUGUGUUUAUCGAAUAGCUUACCGCGCCCGGAAGUCGUGCACAACGUGUUUUUCAACAAUUGUCAAGUGCAACAAGUGUUAAGUCGAAUAGCCACUGGCCCGAUGUUUAACACAUUUUUAACACGUACCCUGAAAAUUUUUCGCUGGUCUUCAAUACACAAGAAUUUUAUAGUUAUCCCGAGUUAUAGUAGUAGCAUUAUUUCUUUGUACAUUUUUUCGAGAACUUUUCAUGAUAAAUUAAAUUUUUGAUAACUUUGUCCGACUGUGUGUUGUAGUACUUAAUAGUAAGGUUUCAACACGUUUAUUGGACUAAAUUUACUUGUAUUAAUUCCACCGACCAACACG